CAAACCCACAAAUUCACCAACUCCCAAACUGCAACCAAGGGAAUACUCGAAACUCCGAACUGGAGACACACGAAUAGCUGCUAGCAGACGAACAGGAAAAGCCCCCAAGCGGCUUACACUCCUGGCAAUCAGUCUCUAACAGCAUACAGUAAAUCCUCCCCCCAAUAAUUAGACAACACUUCACUUUGAGGGUUAAGCAGGGACUCAUUUACUGGGGCUAACUGCCCGGCUUUUAUGCAGGUCUCCCACCUGGUGGACACUCCCCUAGGGGACCAAAUGGAAGACUGGGACACAAAGGGUAAAAGGACCAAUCACAGACUUACACAUUUCAACCAUCCCACAAUGCAUCACAAUCCCUCCUCUCUGCUCUGGAGAUAAUUGGGAAGUAAUUCAAUUAUCUCCAAAGACAGAGGCAAAACUCCAUUAACCACAUGGCAGAAAACAAACAGUAAAAGACAUAAAAUUACCUACAGUUACAUUCAGUACAUAAAACAUAUAUGUUCUACAUAUCCCCAGAUAGCUCAGGUCUGAGCGCACAUUAUUAAGCGAAUGGCGCUCAGACCACACAAAUACAGUUUAAUCGCCAUGGAGCCAAAGUCUUUACACAGUCAGUUUCAUGCGAAUGAGCUCCAUGGGAUUCCUAUCUGGGGUACAACACACUGAAACAAAACUACCGAACACCGGGCCGUUUGUGCACUUUCACCGAACAAGAAGGGGGGGGUCGGCGGCUUCAGCGGUGUUCGCGCAAAACUGUGUCCGAUUUCAGUUCCAAGAAUUAAGCGUCGAACACCGCUGUGCAUUCGCAUGUUUAAAAUGGCCGCGACUUCGUGUUCGUGAUACGAAUGGCGGCCACCCAGCAUUCGUCAAUUAAGCUGCGGUUAACCGCAGCUUCAGGGAGGUUAAUUGCCGGCACACUCCAGCUCCCAGGUGGUCUAUUCAUUUGUGCGGUUGUUCGGUAGAUUGAAUCUACCAAACACCCGGCAGAAAAGCAUGAAUAAGUCUUUUCUGCAGGGAAAAAGAUGUCUUUUAACAUGGGGCCAUAGUCCAAAGGCAGCAGACGAGCAACCAGGCUUCUCCAGUGUACAGUGGCGAGGUUGGUUUCGCCACAAUCACCUCACAACAUAAGUGUCAAAACCGCAAGGAAAACAAUUAAUGAGUGCUUCCCUCGGUUGCCG